CGUGGGUAACCUGCCCAAGAGAUCGGGAUAACACCUGGAAACAGAUGCUAAUACCGGAUAACAACAGAUGAUGCCUAUCAACUGUUUAAAAGAUGGUUCUGCUAUCACUCUUGGAUGGACCUGCGGUGCAUUAGCUAGUUGGUAGGGUAACGGCCUACCAAGGCGAUGAUGCAUAGCCGAGUUGAGAGACUGAUGGCCACAUUGGGACUGAGACACGGACCCAAACUCCUACGGGAGGCAGCAGCC
rnacentral:rRNA from 1 species